rnacentral:rRNA from 1 species
AUACCUUAUAUGUAAUCACAGCAGUCAGGCGGCGAGUGAUAAAAUCCGUCGUCAAGAGGGAAACAACCCAGACUACCAGCUAAGGUCCCUAAAUCUUACUUAAGUGGAAAACGAUGUGAAGUUACUUAAACAACCAGGAGGUUGGCUUAGAAGCAGCCAUCCUUUAAAGAAAGCGUAAUAGCUCACUGGUCUAGUGAUUUUGCGCGGAAAAUAUAACGGGGCUAAAGUAAGUACCGAAGCUGUAGACUUAGUUUACUAAGUGGUAGGAGAGCGUUCUAUUUGCGUCGAAGGUAUACCGGUAAGGAGUGCUGGAGCGAAUAGAAGUGAGCAUGCAGGCAUGAGUAGCGAUAAUUAAUGUGAGAAUCAUUAACGCCGUAAACCCAAGGUUUCCUACGCGAUGCUCGUCAUCGUAGGGUUAGUCGGGUCCUAAGUCGAGUCCGAAAGGGGUAGACGAUGGCAAAUUGGUUAAUAUUCCAAUACCAACAUUAGUGUGCGAU